GGAUGCGAUCAUACAAGCACUAAAGCACCGGAUCCCAUCAGAACUCCGAAGUUAAGCAUGCUUGGGCGAGAAUAGUACUAGGAUGGGUGACCUCCUGGGAAGUCCUCGUGUUGCAUUCC
rnacentral:rRNA from 1 species